GUAGAUAUAGUUUAAUAAAAACAUUAGAUUGUGAUUCUGAGAACAAGAGUUAAAACCUCUUUAUCCACC
rnacentral:tRNA from 1 species